UCUUUCUGUAUUUAUUUUCUUCUCAAUAUUAUAAGUUAAACUAAUGCUCCAUGUUGUUGAGCUAUCCAACAUUUCUCCUCAAGGUCACAUUUCAUUUUUCAUUUCAGAGACUUCUGCAAACAAGUUUCUGACUCAGACUGACAAAUCCAAGUCCGUCAGUCUUGGAGGGACUGUGACCAUCAGCGCCACAGGGAGUUCAGAUAUUGGUGAUGAUCUCAGCUGGUACCUUCAGAAACCUGGACAGGCUCCCAAACUUCUCAUAUACUCUUCAUCAACCCUCUUCUCUGGAACUCCGUCUCGAUUCAGUGGCAGUAGAUCUGGUUCUGACUACACUUUAACCAUCAGAGGUGUUGAGUCUGAAGAUGCUGGAGAUUAUUACUGUCUGGGCUACCAUAGUGAUGGAGUGUUCACACAGUGAUUUAGAGCCGUACAAAAACCUCCUUCAGUUUGACUGAAGUGAGAACGGCCUGCUGCAGGUGCAGAGUGUUGGUGGAGAGACUGUGAUGAAGAUAACUGGUCCAGUGAACACAACACAAGAGUCAUCAAGCAGAAUCUCAAAUAAUCUCAUAAAACUGAAAGAAACUUAUUCAUGCCAUAUUAUAUAUGUAUAUGUUUU